CUAAUUUCUACUUAAAUAUAUGUUUUAAAUCUUGUAAGGGCAUUUUUGUCUAGUACCUUAGCGAGAAGAUUACAUGCAUUCUUUGCAGCUUUUGUUGGUGGUAUGCUGUGUGCUGCUGUUGUUUUGCACAAGUCUUGAUCUCUAAUUUCUACUUAAAUAUAUGUUUUAAAUCUUGUAAGGGUAUUUUUGAAGACCGCAUUUUUGUCUAGUACCUUAGCGAGAAGAUUACAUGCAUUCUUUGCAGCUUUUGUUGGUGGUACGCUGUGUGCUGCUGUUGUUUUGUACUUGCAAAGCAUAUCCCGGAUGGACUUGAGACUUGAGAGGGCUUUUCUCAAAUGAAUUUGUUUUUCUGUUGCCCAAAUGAAUUUGUCCUGCAUAGGGUUUUUUUUAUUAAAAAUGCUGAAG
rnacentral:lncRNA from 1 species